UUCUAUUGCAUUUGCGCGUUGUUUACCUGACACUAUUAUUGCUAUGAUUUUUUUGUUUGGUGCAACUCUUGAUUGCACCUCAUCCUGUUAUUCUAACCUGCUUGUUGAGUUUUUGUGAGGGCUCGCAUGACUCUUGAAGAAAUAACUUGCUUGGUAUUCCACUUUAUUUGUGGGAUACCAUUGGGGAGAUUUAUUCUGAUCACUUUGUCGUUGCCUUCGAGUAUAUGAUCUUGCCCCUCUCUUUGUUGCCUUACGAUAUUACGGUCAUGUCCCACGAAUGUG
rnacentral:lncRNA from 1 species